GGCGUGCCUAAUACAUGCAAGUCGAGCGAGCGGAACUAACAGAUUUACUUCGGUAAUGACGUUAGGAAAGCGAGCGGCGGAUGGGUGAGUAACACGUGGGGAACCUGCCCCAUAGUCUGGGAUACCACUUGGAAACAGGUGCUAAUACCGGAUAAGAAAGCAGAUCGCAUGAUCAGCUUUUAAAAGGCGGCGUAAGCUGUCGCUAUGGGAUGGCCCCGCGGUGCAUUAGCUAGUUGGUAAGGUAAAGGCUUACCAAGGCGAUGAUGCAUAGCCGAGUUGAGAGACUGAUCGGCCACAUUGGGACUGAGACACGGCCCAAACUCCUACGGGAGGCAGCAGUAGGGAAUCUUCCACAAUGGACGCAAGUCUGAUGGAGCAACGCCGCGUGAGUGAAGAAGGUUUUCGGAUCGUAAAGCUCUGUUGUUAGUGAAGAAGGAUAGAGGUAGUAACUGGCCUUUAUUUGACGGUAAUCAACCAGAAAGUCACAGCUAACUACGUGCCAGCAGCCGCGGUAAUACGUAGGUGGCAAGCGUUGUCCGGAUUUAUUGGGCGUAAAGCGAGCGCAGGCGGAAGAAUAAGUCUGAUGUGAAAGCCCUCGGCUUAACCGAGGAACUGCAUCGGAAACUGUUUUUCUUGAGUGCAGAAGAGGAGAGUGGAACUCCAUGUGUAGCGGUGGAAUGCGUAGAUAUAUGGAAGAACACCAGUGGCGAAGGCGGCUCUCUGGUCUGCGACUGACGCUGAGGCUCGAAAGCAUGGGUAGCGAACAGGAUUAGAUACCCUGGUAGUCCAUGCCGUAAACGAUGAGUGCUAAGUGUUGGGAGGUUUCCGCCUCUCAGUGCUGCAGCUAACGCAUUAAGCACUCCGCCUGGGGAGUACGACCGCAAGGUUGAAACUCAAAGGAAUUGACGGGGGCCCGCACAAGCGGUGGAGCAUGUGGUUUAAUUCGAAGCAACGCGAAGAACCUUACCAGGUCUUGACAUCUAGUGUCAUUUGUAGAGAUACAAAGUUCCCUUCGGGGACGCUAAGACAGGUGGUGCAUGGCUGUCGUCAGCUCGUGUCGUGAGAUGUCGGGUUAAGUCCCGCAACGAGCGCAACCCUUGUUAUUAGUUGCCAGCAUUAAGUUGGGCACUCUAAUGAGACUGCCGGUGACAAACCGGAGGAAGGUGGGGAUGACGUCAAGUCAUCAUGCCCCUUAUGACCUGGGCUACACACGUGCUACAAUGGGCAGUACAACGAGAAGCGAGCCUGCGAAGGCAAGCGAAUCUCUGAAAGCUGUUCUCAGUUCGGACUGCAGUCUGCAACUCGACUGCACGAAGCUGGAAUCGCUAGUAAUCGCGGAUCAGCACGCCGCGGUGAAUACGUUCCCGGGCCUUGUACACACCGCCCGUCACACCAUGGGAGUCUGCAAUGCCCAAAGCCGGUGGCCUAACCUUCGGGAAGGAGCCGUCUAAGGCAGGGCAGAUGACUGGGGU
rnacentral:rRNA from 1 species